CUUUCCUAACGGCGGCGACAGGGCGAGCCGUCACCUUGGCCAGGUCUUCGCCGGCGACGAGCCGACGAGCAUCCGACAGUUAAUCAGUUCGUUGUAGGGGUCGAGAUCAACCUAGCCAAGGGGACCCAAAAAAUAUUUGGGCAUUCUUGAACUGAAGCUCGCCCCGUGUGUAGAGAGAGCUUGAAGAUGAUGAACCAGCACAGGGAGGAGGAUGCCUUGAGAGGGCGCGCGGUAAACAACAGAAGGCGAUAUGGGACAAGACUCUGGAGAUGGGAUUCUUGCUGCAGAAAGCAUUCUCCACUUCUAACAAGCAAGUUGCCCCAGGAGCUCAUCAAGGCAAGGUUUUGCAAUCACGAUAAGGAGGUAGAGCAAGCCUAUAGGGACUUGUUCGAUUCGUCAAAGCAGACUCUGGGUAGCAUGAUGAAACUGCAGGAGGUUCUGUUAGUUGCAUAUCUUAUAUUUCCUUCAAUGCUAUGGUUUUUGAUCAAUAUGGUUGAAGGAUUUCUUACUGUAUUUCUCUGAGACUACCUAUAGGCUUUGCUGGAGACUAAUCAGGAUGCCAAUGGUAUUCCUACUCUCCAAACAGUCUUGUUGUACUGUAAAAACUGUGG